AGAAUGGUGGUUAUGGGAAAAAGAGUGCUUGAACACGGACGUUGGUCAGACUCCCGCGGUUCCAAUUACGAGUGAAAGGCGGCCCUGUUCGUUCGUCUCCUAUAACUGCGGACUCUUCAGGACUUCGUACGAGGCCCUCUUACCCCCAUGACCACUUUCGAGUUUCGACACGCGUGUUUCCAUGGCAAAUGCUACCAUUUCGUUGGAUUUGAUCAUCGCACUUAAUAAAUAUAACAGAUAAAAUGUACGUGUUAUCACCGGAAUCUCUACGAGGGAAACGAUUAUCCGAUGUAAUCAUAUCCCUGCUUUGGAUCUAAGAGUCGGGUAAUCAAGGGACGAUUGCUAUCACAAAGCUGCUUGAUUGGCUCGUUUAUGUUACGGUUGAUCAAAGAUCCCAGUCCAGAAGGAUAAUCGUCCCAGGAAAGCAAAGACGAGGGAUGUGUCGUAGCGCAGUGUCGCCAAAGUCGAGAGGAUUACUUGUUUACAAACGACAGUUGAUUUGACAAAGCCGCGAGUCCAUUUAUACGAGUGAAUAUUACAAGGCGUAGUUGAGGGGUGGCUUGUUAUCCGCUCAUUGAAGUUAACCACGGGGCUAAGUGCGCGGAGGAGGGAGGGGUGAUGCUCGUGGUAAGGAGAAUACGAAGAGUAAAGGCUAGGUAAGCUGAAAGGGGAACCCUGCUGCUACCGCUUCUGUUGGAGGGAUGAAAAGUUGGAGGGAGGUUAGAGUGAU